GGCGGCUUAGCUCAGUUGGUAGAGCGUCGGAAUCAUAAUCCGCAGGUCACUGGUUCGACCCCAGUAGCCGCCA
rnacentral:tRNA from 1 species